rnacentral:rRNA from 1 species
CCUACGGGAGGCAGCAGUGGGGAAUAUUGGGCAAUGGGCGCAAGCCUGACCCAGCAAUGCCGCGUGAAGGAAGAAGGCUUUCGGGUUGUAAACUUCUUUGACAGGGGAAGAGCAGAAGACGGUACCCUGAAAACAAGCCACGGCUAACUACGUGCCAGCAGCCGCGGUAAUACGUAGGUGGCAAGCGUUGUCCGGAUUUACUGGGUGUAAAGGGCGUGUAGCCGGGAAGGCAAGUCAGUUGUGAAAUCUGGAGGCUCAACCUCCAAAUUGCAUUUGAAAUUGUUUUUCUUGAGUACUGGAGAGGCAGACGGAAUUCCUUGUGUAGCGGUGAAAUGCGUAGAUAUAAGGAGGAACACCAGUGACGAAGGCGGUCUGCUGGACAGCAACUGACGGUGAGGCGCGAAAGCGUGGGGAGCAAACAGGAUUAGAUACCCCAGUAGUC